AUUGAACGCUGGCGGCAGGCUUAACACAUGCAAGUCGAGCGAGCGGCGGACGGGUGAGUAAUGUCUGGGAAUCUAGCUUAUGGAGGGGGAUAACUACGGGAAACUGUAGCUAAUACCGCGUACCAUAGGAUGAGCCCAAGUGGGAUUAGGUAGUUGGUGAGGUAAAGGCUCACCAAGCCGACGAUCCCUAGCUGGUCUGAGAGGAUGACCAGCCACACUGGAACUGAGACACGGUCCAGACUCCUACGGGAGGCAGCAGUGGGGAAUAUUGCACAAUGGGCGCAAGCCUGAUGCAGCCAUGCCGCGUGUGUGAAGAAGGCCUUCGGGUUGUAAAGCACUUUCAGCGAGGAGGCGUUACUCGCAGGAGAAGCACCGGCUAACUCCGUGCCAGCAGCCGCGGUAAUUC
rnacentral:rRNA from 1 species